rnacentral:tRNA from 1 species
GGAGGUGUGGCUCAGCAGUAGAGCACCUGCUUAACAAGCACAAGUCCUUGAGUUCAAAUUCUAGUACCACCA